GAGCCCCCAUCCCCAUCCCCCAUCACUACCACCAUUUCCUCCGUUAACACUCUCACCAUUCCCUCACCCACUUUCAACCACCACCACCUUCAUUAAUAACCACCACCAAAACCGACUCCCCUAUCCCCUACGCAGCCCCCCACCACGCUCUACUCUCCACCACCAUCAAACCCUUCCCUCUACUCCGCCACCACCGACCCUUCCUUGAAUAGUGCCCUACAUGGAUAUCCUCUCCUCUCUUCACCUGAUGUGACCCCCACAAACAACCAUAACCACCCACCCUAAAUGCAAAGCAACACCAUAAAAAUUCGAACCAACAUUAUCUAUACUCUACAUUUUCACCAUCAAAAUCGACUAUCAAAAUCAACCAUCACCAUUAAAUUGGUGUUGCAGAUGUAGGGUGGUAGGCCUUGUAUGAUGGGAGGCGCUAUCGUAGAGGGAGGUGGAAGGGAGGGGAUGUUGCACAGAUGGGAGAUUAAAGACGGGGAGUUGAGAUUGUUUUUAUUUGAAUUUAAUUUAUCUUUGUUUUGGUAGAAAUCACAUGUUUUAAAAGUUACAUGUAAAAUUGGAUGCUAUUGAAAAACAUACCCUAAAUUUGGUAUUAUUCAGGGUUAAUCGAAAGUUUGUAUUAUUGUAGGAAAAUCGGUGAAAGCUCCUAUUAUUCAAGGUUGUAAGUUCAUCAAUUGGUAACAAAGCCAAAUUGAAGGUUGUUUAGAGGUUUCUUGAUUGAUCUUGUAGAAAGAAUGGCAUCUAUGAAGUUAAAUAUUGAGAAAUUUGAUAGAAAUAAGAAUUUUGGAUUAUGGCAAGUGAAGAUGAAGGUCAUAAUUGUGCAACAUUGAGUGCAAAAGGCUUUGAAUGGUGUGGAGAAGAUGCCUUAUGGGAUGUCUAUGGAAAAGUGGGAAGAGAUUAUCUUAAAGGCUUUGAGUGCAAUCUAAUUACGUCUUUCAAAAGAGGUGCUUAAAGAAGUUGUGAAGGAAUGUACUUCUAAGGGUAUAUGGGACAAACUUGAGUCAAAAUUCAUGGCUAAGAGUGUGACCAAUAGGUUGUUGUUGAAAAGUAGAUCUUAUGAUCUUAGGCUUGAAGAAGGGAGUUCUCUUAAGGCAUUUGGAUGAGUGUUCCACAAUUGUCAUAGAUUUACACAAUAUUGAUGUGGUUGUUGAUGAUUAAGAUUUGGCAAUUUUCUUAUUGAGUUCUUUACCCUGCUCUUAUAAAAACUUUAGAGAGACAUUGCUAUAUGAUAGGGAGAAUCUUAGUAGUGCUGAUGUGAAGAAUUCUUUGAUUAAAAGAGACCGUAUUAAGAACCAAUUGACACAAAAAUAGAAUGUGUCAAAUAAGGGGUUGUUUGUGAGGGGAAGAGCAUAUGAUAGUAGCCUUGGGGGAAAGAACAGGAGUAGGUCCAAGUCUAGGGUAUCCAACAAAGUAAAGACAUGUCAUUAUUGCAAAUUGAAGGGGCACAUAAAGAAAGAUUGUUGGAAAUUGAAGAGGAUUCAAAAGGAGAGUGGCUCUAAAGAUUCUACAUCCAGAGGUGCUAGCUACGUGUUUGAAAGCUAUGAUGGUGGUGCCUUAGUGGUUACCCCAAGGAAUGGAGUCUUGAUUCCAGUUGUUCUUUUCAUAUGACUCCCAAUAGAUUAUUCUUUUACACUUAUGAGAAGGUGGAUGGAGGAAAUGUAAGCUUGGGUAAGGAUGACACUUGCAAGGUGGUGGGCAUUGGUAGUAUGGCUAUCAAGAUGCAUGAUGUGAUGAUUAGGGUGCUUAAUGAUGUUAGGCAUGUACCGGGGUUGAAAAAAAAAUCUCAUAUCCCUAGGUACAAUGGAUGUUUUGGGAUAUAAAUGUUCUUGUAAGGGUAGUUUCAUGAAGAUAAUAAAGCGUUCGCUGAUUUAAAUGGAAGGUAGAAUGGUUGGAUACUUAUAUGUUUUACAAGGAUCUUUGAUUACCGAUUCGUUGAACGUCACCACUUCUACUAUGAGUGAGUAAGAGACCAAGUUAUGACACAUGAGACUUGACCAUUUGAGUGAACAAGAGAUGAAUGUGUUGAGUAAGAAGGGUGUCUUUGAUGGAAAGAAGCUUAGGGUGUUGCCCUUUUGUGAAGAUUAUGUUUACGGGAAGUACAAACGUGUUAGCUUCAAACUCAUUGUUCAUAAUACCAAGGGUAUUCUUAAUUAUUCAUUCGGAUGUUUAGGGUCCUUCAAGAGAAGGGUUUCUUUGGGCAAAUGCAACUACCUUCUUACGUUCAUUGAUGACUACUCAUGAAAGGUUUGGUGUUUUUUUAUUAAGACUAUAGAUGAGGUCAUAGGUGUCUGCAUUAAUUGGAAAACAAUGAUAGAGAAGAAGAUGGAGCGGGACCAAGACAUUGAAGACCGACAAUGGGCUUGAGUUCAUUGAAAAAGAGCUUCUCAAGUUUUGUGCUAAAUAGGGUAUCACAAGGCAUCGCACAUAUGUAGAUAGGCCUCAACAAAAUAAGGUGCUCAAGAGGAUGAACAAGACAUUGCUAGAAAGGGCAAGAUGUAUGUUGAGUCAAGCAAAUCUUGGAAAGGAGUUUUUGGCCGAGGUGGUGUCAAGGGCAUGUUACUUGAUCAAUCGUUCUCCACACACAAUUCUUGACUUCAAGUGUCCCCAAGAGGCAUGGUAUAAGACAUGAUGCUUGUGAGGAGGUGGAGCCUCCUAUGAGUGAGGAAGCAACAAGGAUUGAGAAUGACAUAUAUCAACCGUUAGAAUCAACAUCUCGCAAUGUACUGGGGUCAAAGAGGCAUGUAA